rnacentral:rRNA from 1 species
CCGUUAACGAACGAGACCUCGACCUGCUAAAUAGUUGGGCAAAUCCUUCGGGAUUUGUACUACGCAACUUCUUAGAGGGACUAUCGGCGAUUUAGCCGAUGGAAGUUCGAGGCAAUAACAGGUCUGUGAUGCCCUUAGAUGUUCUGGGCCGCACGCGCGCUACACUGAUACGAUCAUCGAGCUUACAACCUUGGUUGAGAGGCCUGGGUAAUCUUGUUAAACCGUAUCGUGCUGGGGAUAGAUUAUUGUAAUUUUUAAUCUUCAACGAGGAAUUCCUAGUAAACGCUGGUCAUCAGCCAGCAUUGAUUACGUCCCUGCCCUUUGUACACACCGCCCGUCGCUAAUACCGAUUGAAUGGAUA